AUUCAAUGUUAUGCAAUUUAAUGAUAUUUUUUUUUUUAUUUAAUACUCCAGCCUUCCCCCCUAAAAAAGUUUGAAGAUGAUAAAAGGCUCUUUAAGAUAUUUUAGAUAUGACAUCAUUAACCAAUAAUUAGUGUAUUUUGCUUGUCAGAGGCAUUAAUUUUAGGACAAGUUUUUGAUCAGAUUCGACAGGCAUUUUUAUCUUCAAAAGGUUAAAUUCCUUAAAUAGUGUUUAGCAUUAUAAGAGUACAUCCAUUUAGAACAUUUCAUUCUCCAUACUUGUAGUUCGGGAAA
rnacentral:lncRNA from 1 species